GAACGCAAAUUGCACUCUCUGGCAUUCCGGAGAGUAUGCCUGUUUGAGGGUCGAUAAAAACAAAAAAUCGACAGUGUUGUUUUUUAACAUUGUCGGAAUUGGGUGAUCUUUGACCUCGUUUUGGUUAAAGUGACCUAAAAUUUAUCAUUCACAUCGGUAUUAUUACGUACUUAAUAAUUUUCGUCGUAAAUACCGAACUGUAAUUUUAUUAGAUGCGACUAUUCAAUAGCUUUCGCGUCCAUAACUUUUUUCAAUAAAUGACCUCAAAUCAGGUAAGAAUACCCGCUGAACUUAAG
rnacentral:misc_RNA from 1 species